UGGAAGUACAUCGGGUUGUUGAUAGAUGA
rnacentral:piRNA from 1 species